rnacentral:rRNA from 1 species
CGGGGUGAAAGGUUAACUGCCUGAAGAUGAGCUCGCGUCUGAUUAGCUAGUAGGUGUGGUAAAGGCGCACCUAGGCGACGAUCAGUAGCUGGUCUGAGAGGAGGAUCAGCCACACUGGGACUGAGACACGGCCCAGACUCCUACGGGAGGCAGCAGUGGGGAAUUUUCCGCAAUGGGCGAAAGCCUGACGGAGCAAUACCGCGUGAGGGAGGAAGGCUCUUGGGUCGUAAACCUCUUUUCUCAGGGAAGAACACAAUGACGGUACCUGAGGAAUAAGCAUCGGCUAACUCCGUGCCAGCAGCCGCGGUAAUACGGAGGAUGCAAGCGUUAUCCGGAAUGAUUGGGCGUAAAGCGUCCGCAGGUGGCGAUGUAAGUCUGCUGUUAAAGAGUCUAGCUCAACUAGAUAAGAGCAGUGGAAACUACAUAGCUAGAGUACGUUCGGGGCAGAGGGAAUUCCUGGUGUAGCGGUGAAAUGCGUAGAGAUCAGGAAGAACACCAGUGGCGAAGGCGCUCUGCUAGGCCGUAACUGACACUGAGGGACGAAAGCUAG